rnacentral:lncRNA from 1 species
UUGUAACAGUGUCAAGUUAAGUGCUAUAACUUUGUACUUUAAGAGGAUAAAAUAGAGGUUUUUAAAAGACAGAGGAUAAAGUGUAAAAGAGAAUAUUUAUAGAGAUGUUUUAUGCAUCUCACCUCUCUCCUACUCUCUUUCUCCUUUUUCUUUCUUCCUUUACUCUCUUUCUUUUCUUCUUCACCAUAGCUCUCUCCUUUUCUCCCCCUAUCCUCUCCAUCCUUGCCUCAUGGAGCCAACCAUCCCUUAAUUCUGGGCUCUGAUGAAGUUCGAGAACUGGCAAUUAUAGCAGUAGAAGUUGAGAUGGCAGAGUUCACCUAUAUAUUCUUCGACUCCGAGAUUUGAAAUAUGAGUAGCUUGCUGUGUGUGUUACUUUACACCAAGAUUUUAAGUGUCCGUCAGCACAGACCGUAUCCACCAUGCCGUACCGUGCCAACAAGAUACAGGCACGAUACAGAUCCCGUGCUAAUGGCACAGCUCAAAACCCUCUAUUCUUUAAAUUAGUAAAUAAUUUCCUCAAUAAAGUUCAAAAGAUAUGAUAAAACGAUAUAAUAAAUAGUUAGAAUAUUUUAUUGCUAAAGAAAAUAAAUAUUUUUUACUAUUAUGUGUCGGCACAUAAGAAUUUUUUUGACCGGCACGUAUCGGCAUGGCUCGGCACGCACCGUGCCGGCAAGUUUCCGGCACGGUCCUGUGCCACGGCACUUAAAUCCUUGCUUUACACCCUUGUUUUGAUCAUUUUUGAGUGUUUUGGCAUUAUUUUGGGCUGUGAUUGAAAAUAUUUUGGUCUUAUUUUUGUUGUUCUGCUAUG